AAACUCAAAGGAAUUGACGGGGGCCCGCACAAGCGGUGGAGUAUGUGGUUUAAUUCGAUGCAACGCGAAGAACCUUACCUGGUCUUGACAUCCCGAGAAUCUCUUGGAAAUAAGAGAGUGCUUGCAUUAGUAAGAACUUGGUGACAGGUGCUGCAUGGCUGUCGUCAGCUCGUGUCGUGAGAUGUUGGGUUAAGUCCCGCAACGAGCGCAACCCUUGCCUUUAGUUGCCAGCAGUUCGGCUGGGCACUCUAAAGGGACUGCCGGUGUCAAACCGGAGGAAGGUGGGGAUGACGUCAAGUCCUCAUGGCCUUUAUGACCAGGGCUACACACGUACUACAAUGGCCGAUACAAAGGGCAGCUACAUCGCAAGAUGAUGCGAAUCUCAUAAAGUCGGUCUCAGUCCGGAUUGGGGUCUGCAACUCGACCCCAUGAAGUUGGAAUCGCUAGUAAUCGUGGAUCAGCAUGCCACGGUGAAUACGUUCCCGGGCCUUGUACACACCGCCCGUCACACCACGGGAGUUGGUUGUUCCAGAAGCAGUUGUGCUAACCUUAGGGAAGUAGGCUGCCAAGGAAUGGCUGGUAACUGGGGUGAAGUCGUAACAAGGUA
rnacentral:rRNA from 1 species